rnacentral:piRNA from 1 species
UAGAAGCUGAUGGAAAUGUGAGGCUGUGU